UGUAGCUCAGUGGCAGAGUGCUUGCCUAGCAUGCAUGAGGCACUGGGUUCGAACCUCAGCA
rnacentral:tRNA from 1 species